GGAAGAUUAUGAUUAUUGUUUAUUGAGAGCUGUAUGUAUUUCGAUAGAGAAAGUUUGUGAUUAUAGAAAUUUUGUGAUUACAGAUUGGUUGGAGUGAAGUUUGUUAUUUUUGGUGUUGGAUGGAAAUUAUGUGUUUUGAGAAGUCUUUUAAGAGUGCAAGAUUAUACAUUGUGGUUAUUAGUUGAUGAAGGAGUAGUAUUACUAGGAGAAAACAUUGUAAUAUUUCUUGGUAUUCUAAUAGUUUGGAUUACGAUUAAUUGA
rnacentral:lncRNA from 1 species